AUUGAACGCUGGCGGCAGGCCCAACACAUGCAAGUCGAGCGAGCGGCGGACGGGUGAGUAAUGUAUGGGGACUGCCCGAUAGAGGGGGAUAACUACUGGAAACGGUAGCUAAUACCGCAUACUAUCGGAUAACCCAUAUGGGAUUAGCUAGUAGGUGAGGUACUGGCUCACCUAGGCGACGAUCCCUAGCUGGUCUGAGAGGAUGAUCAGCAAAACUGGGACUGAGACACGGCCCAGAAUCCUACGGAGGCAGGAGUGGGGAAUAUUGCACAAUGGGCGCAAGCAUGAUGCAGCCAUGCCGCGUGUAUGAAGAAGGACCUAGGGUUGUAAAGUACUUUCAGUCGGGAGGCGUUACCGACAGAAGAAGCACCGGCUAACUCCGUGCCAGAAGACGCGGUAAGUC
rnacentral:rRNA from 1 species